UCUGUUUUGCUUCAUUACCUUAUUAUUAUUUUUUUAGACAACUAAUUUCUAAAUUCGAAUCAUUCUGACCUACAUGCACUUACAUGCACCAAACACAGGAAUGCCCCCCCUCCCCCACUCUGGUCAUGCUGGAGAGUCCACCUCCGUGUUUUGGACUUGAUUUAGCCAGGUGUGGCGACAUUUAGGAGGAAUGGAGCUCGACCUUUAACCUCCUUGGCCGUGAUCUUGGCGUUAUCACUCCAUGCGUCAGCCCAUACAAUACACCUGUCAAUCCUGUUCCAAAACCAGAUGUGUUCCUGUAGGGAAAGACACACAGCCACUCUUUGCCUUCACACACAGGGGACGGCAGUAUACGUGGACCAGGUUGCCACAGGGUUACAUCGAUUCCCCCGCAGGCUUCGCGACCACGGUCAAGAACGCCCUGUCAAGCCUCUGCCUUCCCCCAGACUCAGUGGUCUUACAAUAUGCAGGUGACCUCUUGGUGGCUGCGGCCGAUUAUGACACCUGCCAAGCAGCGACCCUGGCUCUACUCACACACCUGGCUGAGAAAGGUUUUAAGGUGUCCAAGUCAAAACUCCAGUUCUGCCAGAACACUGUCCGCUACCUUGCGACCUUGUACGUUUCUUUCUAAAUCCCUCGACUCUGUGGCUCAGGGUUUGCCUGCCUGUCUACGUGCUGUUGCCGCCUGUGAUCUGAUGGCUAACUGAUGCUGAAAAAGAUCGUUUUAUCUCAUCCUUUGAUCUUACACACCUCACAUCAGUGUUUGUGUUUCAGAAAUCUGAGGCAACGACCUUUUCAGGGGUCCCUUCUUCCCAGCAUCCGAAUAAAAGGAUCGGCUGAUCUACAAAGAGGGGUCUGUCGGUGAGCUUCAGGUGGCGACACACAUCUCUCUGCAAAAAGGCUGACAUCAUUGAGCGAAACGGUGUGGUGACCCCGCAGACUCUCCUGUGCCGCCUGUUCGGACAUCUGCCACGGUGCAAAUGGUGCGCGAGGAAGCCGUUGGGGGACAGAAAGACAACCUCUACUGGAAUCAGGAAACAUAGCCAGUGACCAGUAUGGCUGUUCUACUUCUACUACUGCUCGUCGCGCUUGGGACAGGGAUUCCCGUCCAAGCUCAUCCGCACGAUAAUACCUUCUGGCAGUUCGCGAAUUGGACAGCAAGAAAUAGUGUUUGCAUUUGUAAUCAUACUUCAUUAUUAAUCAGUAUAAAAGAGGGGAUUGCUGAAAUGAAUUUCCUUUAAUUAA